AUGGCGUGUCCGUAUUUGGGUUCUGGUGAGCUCACGCAUAGAGUCACAUUUAUGGAAGGAGGGGAAGAGUGUCAACAAGGAGUUAACAAAGUUGAAAUGGGUUUUGGACAAACGUAUUCCGAAUAUCUACAGUUGGACAAAAUCCUCACAGCACAAAGAUUGAAAUCAGAAGCCGAUGGUCAACGUGUAGACGAUGAACAUCUCUUUAUUGUGAUCCACCAGGCUCACGAGCUCUGGUUCAAGCAGAUUAUUUUUGAUUUGGACAAUGUCAGAAAACUUCUCAAUAACACUAUUGUCGACGAGACGAAAACCUUAAAAAUCGUUUCUGGUUUGGAUAGAAUGACAAAAAUACUAAGCUUGCUCACCGAGCAAAUCACUUUGCUCGACACAAUGAGUCCAUUGGAUUUUGUGGAUUUCAGAAAGUAUUUGACACCAGCUUCGGGAUUCCAGAGUCUUCAGUUCCGUGUAUUGGAGAAUAAGCUCGGUGUUCGACAGGAGCGUAGAAUUAAGUACAACGCUCAACAUUACAAGAAUGUUUUCAACGACACAGACCUCAAAACAUUGAAUGUGACCGAAGAAGAGAAGAGUCUUUUGACAUUGAUUGAAAGUUGGUUGGAAAGAACACCAGGAUUGAAAUCAACUUCAGAAGAUGAGGGAUUCUGGAUCAAGUACGAGAAAUCUGUUAAUAAGUAUCUUGCUGAUUUGGCGAAACAAGCAGCGGUUCGUUUUUUUACUUAAAAACUCCUGGCCAUUGCAUUAAUGGUGAAGUAUCACCAGUGUAUAAGUUGCGUAGUUGUUCCAUCUUUUUUGUUCUUUUUUUCACUUCAAUCUUUGAGUAACCCCAUUAUUUCUCGAAACGUUUUUCCGUAUGCCUCGUUCUUUUUUGUUUCCAAAGGCAACUUGCCUUUUUUUCUUCAAAAAAAAGGCUAAAUUCGUAUUGUUGAAGGACCCAUCAAACACGGAGGAGAUUGCCAAGCAACUGACGGCCGAAUAUCAUAAAACUGCGGAUGCUUUCCAGUCAAUCUUGGACCCAAGGCAACAUGAACAACAUAUUAGAAAUGGAAAUCGUCUUCUCUCCCAUGAUGCUACAAAAGGAGCCAUGAUGAUCUACUUCUACCGUGACAUGCCACGUUUCUCACAGCCAUAUCAGAUCCUUACAUUCCUGAUGGAUAUCGACAGUUUGUUCACAAAGUGGAGAUACAACCACGUGCUUCUUGUACAAAGAAUGCUGGGUGCUAAACAAGGAACCGGUGGCUCAUCAGGAUACAUGUACCUUCGUUCAACAGUCAGUGACCGUUACAAAGUAUUCUUAGAUCUAUUCAAUUUAUCAACAUGGUUGAUUCCACGUGAAUACAUUCCAAUGCUUUCUCCUCGAAUGGUCAAAACUCUUUCCGAACAUUCAAAUCUUUCACAUUCCCAAUCAUCAGAAAGUGAUUAG